rnacentral:rRNA from 1 species
CCUACGGGUGGCAGCAGUGAGGAAUAUUGGUCAAUGGGCGCGAGCCUGAACCAGCCAAGUCGCGUGAAGGAAGACUGCCCUACGGGUUGUAAACUUCUUUUAUAAAGGAAUAAAGUGAGGCACGUGUGCCCUUUUGAGUGUACUUUAUGAAUAAGGAUCGGCUAACUCCGUGCCAGCAGCCGCGGUAAUACGGAGGAUCCGAGCGUUAUCCGGAUUUAUUGGGUUUAAAGGGAGCGGAGAUGGGUUGUUAAGUCAGGUGUGAAAGUUUGCGGCUCAACCGUAAGAUUGCAAUUGAAACUGGCAGGCUUGAGUACAGUUGAGGUAGGCGGAAUUCGUGGUGUAGCGGUGAAAUGCUUAGAUAUCACGAAGAACUCCGAUUGCGAAGGCAGCUUACUAAACUGCCACUGACAUUGAUGCUCGAAAGUGUGGGUAUCAAACAGGAUUAGAUACCCUGGUAGUC